AUAGAGGAGUAAGAGUAGGAGAAGCUUUAGUAGCUACAACAAGAGUAUGUUUUUGAGGCGCCAUGGAAAUCGAGCCAGUCAUCACCUCUAUCUCUCUCUGAUCAGUAUGCAGGAUAUAGUGAAGGAGGCUGAAUAGGUGAUUCUUAAAUUCUGAAUGUCAAAGGAUUUGUUUUACUAUAUAUCAGCAUUCAACUGUUCCUCAAGGAGUUUUGCCGAAAGAUUUUUAAUUUGGUGCAACAAAGAAGGAAGUGAUGGUCUUUGCUUUGAUUGAGAGACUGGUCUUGCAGAGUUGGUUAGGUGCAUCAAAAUCCUUUUUCACAUUGUCAAGGAGUUUUACCCUUAUAUAAAUUUUCUUAAUCAAUGAUCAAUUGUCUCUAACAGUCUCAUAUUGAAUUGUAAUAUCUUCCUCUGUUGAUGAUACUCCCUGUAAAC